UGUAUGUGUGCGCACGCAUGUAUACAUAUACAUACAUAUAUACAUACAUACAUAUACUUGUUAGUUUCUUCUUUUUCUCCUUCUUCCUUUUUAAAAAAUACUGUGGAUUUAACCCAGGGGCACUUUACCACUGAGCUACUUCCUGCCUUUUUAUUUUUUAUUUUGAGAUAGGGUCUCACAAAUUUGCCAAGGCUGGCCUUGAACUUGUGAUUCUCCUGCCUCAGCCUCCUGGUUGCACCACUAUGCCCAGUGUCAAACAGAGUUUAAAUAUUUCAGGUUUAUCCCUACAGUGUUCAUAUGUCUUACACUUUCUAGGAAAAUUCAGAUUGUAAAUUUAGAUUUAAUUUUGGACCACACCCCCACCUUGCAUUUGGUGAAAAAAAAAAUAUGGUCACCACAAUUAUAUAGACCUGGCAAGUGUAAGUUGUGGAAGAAAACUAAUCAAG
rnacentral:lncRNA from 1 species